GUCCCUAUCGUCUAGCCUGGUUAGGACACGGGCCUUUCGAGCCCGCGGCACGGGUUCAAAUCCCGUUAGGGACACCA
rnacentral:tRNA from 2 species